rnacentral:rRNA from 1 species
UCCUAGCUGUAAACGAUGAGCACUAGAUCGUGGGGACCUCCACAUCCUCUCGGUCGUAGCGAAAGUGUUAAGUGCUCCGCCUGGGGAGUAUGGUCGCAAGGCUGAAACUCAAAGGAAUUGGACGGGGGCUCACACAAGCGGUGGAGGAUGUGGCUUAAUUCGAGGCUACGCGAAGAACCUUAUCCUGGUCUUGACAUGCUUGGGAACCC